rnacentral:lncRNA from 1 species
GAGGAUAGCAGCUACAGGCCAGGGCGAGAGGCUUCAGAGGAAACCAGCCCUGCUGACUCUUUGAAGUCGGACUCCCAGCCUCCAGAACUCAUUUAGAGGCCACCAACAUUGAAUAACCACACUGGGAUAGACACAGCGGGGAAAAGAUUCCUGCUGUUCCCAUCACAGCAGCCUUGGAGAUGAGGAGACAGAUGGAUCUGACCAGAAGUCUGGAGAACUUCGAGAAAAAAGGAGGAGGACACAAAGGGAAAUAAGUAAAAAGAUAUGUCUGGAGCAACUAUGAGGAUGGCAAAUUGGUGUCUAAUUCUGAAAAUCAUAAUUGGUAUAAAUGCUAUGCACUGUGGAAGGAGGGAUGAAAGGUAGAGGGAAUAAAAAAGAACAUGAAGUCAGAAUCCUUGGCACGAAAGCCUGCCGUUU